GAUGAAGAACGCAGCUAAAUGCGAUAAGUAAUGUGAAUUGCAGAAUUCAGUGAAUCAUCGAAUCUUUGAACGCACAUUGCGCCCGCCAGUAUUCUGGCGGGCAUGCCUGUUCGAGCGUCAUUUCAACCCUCAAGCACAGCUUGGUGUUGGGACUCGCGUUAAUUCGCGUUCCCCAAAUUGAUUGGCGGUCACGUCGAGCUUCCAUAGCGUAGUAGUAAAACCCUCGUUACUGGUAAUCGUCGCGGCCACGCCGUUAAACCCCAACUUCUGAAUGUUGACCUCGGAUCAGGUAGGAAUACCCGCUGAACUUAAGCAUAUCAAUAAGCGGAGGA
rnacentral:misc_RNA from 1 species